CUUCCACUCUAGAAAAAUAUUUCUCGAAUACUUAUCAAGCCAAAGAAACUUUUCUUUAUGACAGUUUCUUCCAGCUCCGUUCUGCGGUUUACCUCAGCAUCUGCUUUCUUUUUCCACUCUCCCAACUUACGCCUGGUUUUGAUUAAAACCAAGCCUAGAUGCAUGGCAAGAAAAAGCAGCCUUCCAACACCAGGAGAGCAGGAAGACGAUUUGUCAGCGAUCGCCCGGUCCGGAAAGCAAUAUUUUCUGGUAGCAGCGUUUGCUCCCAGUAGGACUGGGCUAACAUACAGCUUUUACAUUAUUAUUGUAUGCCACAACCAUCUCAUCAAAAAGCUAAGAGACGUUCUUUGAACCCAACUGAAAUCAUCUGUUUAUCCUUUCUGACUGCUUUGCAGGCAAAUUCCUCACCACAGAAUGGGGGGCGAAGGGCACUGCUUCUCUUUGUGAUUCCGCCACGUUUUCAUUUUCAAUGAAGUUUUAUAAAUGUUUGAUUUUUCUCCAAAAUUCCCCUGUUUUGUGGCAGCGGGCCUCCAACCUGCCAGCACAAGAGGUGGUGUAAGUCAGCAGUGUAGAUAAGCGGGCCCGCUUUUAGAUUGUCUCGUUGGGUGUCUCCCUCACAGAUACAGACUGGUGGCUGGAUGUAUGUUUUUUACUAUUAUUAUGUUUAUUUUCUAUCAUUAUUAUUAUGUUUACUCUCCCCUCUCUCCAUCCAGAAGCUCUCACCAUCACUUUCUCUUCCCAGCUUUGUUUUCGCUCAUCCUCCAACUCCUGUCCCCCCCUCAGGGUAUAACCAAAUCCCCGCUGAAAGCCACAAGAAUGCGGUAUUUCAUUGAAACCCUCCCAGGAUUUCCCAAACCAUCAGUUUCCAGUUCAUGCAGGAGAGGGCAGCAGAGCUCAGGGAAUGGGGACAGUCACUCAGAGCGAUAAAAUGCGUUCCAAGGGUUGUGCUGCAUUUUCCCACUAAUUCUGCCCUCGAAGUGGGGCAGCCCUAAGGAACCAGCCAGGCAGGAGAAGCAGAUUUCGGUGUGAUUUAUGACUGGCUGCAGGCUGCUUGGGGAAGGACUGCAACUCAGCCAGGUGAGGACACCAAAUGGGCAGCCCAGCACUCCCACCUUCCUGUGAGCACCUCACCACCGCCAUGUAAGGAAAGAACAGCGGGUUCUGAAAAUGGGUACUCAGGAAUGGCCUUUACCUCUGCAGUCUUCUUGCUAUGGAUGGGACUGUUCACAUGAAUGGAGGCAGUGAGACUGGAUCCACGGUUCUGAAACAGGUGUGUGGUGCCUGGUCACCCCAUGGAGCUCUCGCCUCCUUCUGGGCUAUCACUGCACCUGCUCUACUCUAGACAACUUCAUUCAGAAUCUGCUGUUGCCUUUUCCAUGACGGACUCAUGGCUACUGCAUCAGCACAGAGGUGGGUGAGUGGCUCUUCUUUACCUCCUUAGCUCCCACUUCUUCCAGGAUUGUGCUGCUCAAUCCAGGCCCUUAACUAUUCUGUGCAGAGACAGCUUCAGCAACAGAGAUAGGUGAUGGGUUGUGCAGCCAUGAAUACAGAGCAAAGGGGAGUCAGCCAGGCGUGUGCUCACAAGACUUUGGCGGUACUCCUUUGGACCCCAUCACUGUUGUUUCAGUCAGUUGGAGUCAGCUCUCUUAGACUCUUCCAAAAGAUGCAGCAUGUUUGUUAACAAGGCGAUAGAUGCUUUACAAAGAUCUCUGUGCUACGCAAUUCGUCACUCACUGAGGACCUGUUUCUGCAGAUACAUCUCCUAAAUGGUGCACUUGGCAUCAGGAAUAGUCCUGCUGAAACAUCUCAUCAGUGCACAUACAUAUUUAUGGUUUGUAAUAACACAUUUGCAUGUGAACCAGUUGCUGCUUGGCUUCCUAAAAGAAAUGUUUAAGAAAUUGCUUCUGUACCAAUCCAUGUUAUGAUACUCAAUUCCUCACUUCUUCAAAACAUAUUUAAAUUUCCAUGUGAAGCAUAUUUGCUCUACAGAGAGCUGCUUAAGAGUCAGUGCUGCGCCAUUAAUGCCCUGCCAGCACUUCUGUAUGUGUGCAUGUGAUGAAUGCACUUGGGAUCAGAUGGUGCUGCUUUGGAUUGAACCUGAGCUUUGUGUAUUUCAAGCAGAAUUCUUGAAGCUAAGAGGAACCUGGUGUGAGGGACAGGGGGAGGGCACAGCAUCAGGCCCUUUACUUUCUUCUUUGCUAGAGAUACCUCCAAAGACUUUAUUUUGGCUAUAAUGGUGAACACAAAUUCAUCACUCAUGUAGGUUAAAGAUCUUAUCAGACAAACUUUAGUACAGAGCGCAUUUUACAUUCAAGCUGUGAACCCUUGGAAAUAGGGGCUUAUAAGGACAUUGCAGACAUAGUGUUUAGCAUUGCAGCAGAGACGAUGCCAGCAUGGUUGGCUAAAAUAAUCUUGUUUUUAAGGUAAAGAUUUGGAUCUGUUUUUACACAAUAAUGUCUUGAAAAUAGAGGGAAAACGCUUCUUAGGAUGACUCAUAAAUGUGCUUUAAAAAUGCUAUUAAGAUUUAAGGCAUAAUGCAGAUCCUAUAAAUCUACUCUGCAUUCUUUCACUGGGAAUGAGUGACUUUUAUGAAAACUAGGGAUUAUAAAUCAAGAGCCUAAAUAAGGGUGUUUUUUUUUUUUUUUGACAUGUAAAUAUAGAUUAUACAUUAGCUGAGCCCUGCCUUGCCGGCCUUGUGUUUCCACCAGGGGCAAACAAAGUGAGCAUUAUUCUCCUGAGCACCAGUUUUACCUUGUAAAAGCCAGUUAGCAAAAAUGUAGGGAAGCACUGCUGCUGGAGGAAUGAUGGUCAGUGAUUUGGGAGGGGGAACUUUCUGCUGUCUUACUCAGUCCUGCUUUUUCAUCUCCCUGUUCAUUCACCUGCUGUGUAGGACUGUGUGUUUUCAAGGCAGUAACCACGCCAAUCUCCCCUUCAAAACAAUGAAACAUCCUUAGAAAAUGCUGACAGCUUUCCAUUGCACUACUGCAAAUAUAUACGACCAUUGGACCUCAUCCUAAUUUGUUUUUAAUGUCAUAUCCUGUCCCCACCCCAUAAUUCUUGGGUGAAAUCUGGUGCAGCAAUGUCCUCCAGCCCCCAGCCCCUAUCUGCAGCCCGGGCUCAUGGCAGCAGCGGUUUGCUCAGCCUUAUCUGCCCUAUGCUUCUAUAUUUAAACAAGGAGGGCUCUUUGUUGGCUGAACUUAUAUAAAACAUCGCUUGCCUGGAUGGCUGACUUGUAAAGAAAGGGCAUCUAUGACUUUUAUGCGGCAUUUCAAAGAAGGCAUUUAGUAACAUUGUAAGACAAAGAAGGGAGUCUGUCUCAAUGCACAACUGGCCGGCUAAUGAUUAACUUCUCAGUACUUAAUGGGUUUGUGGCAGAAAAAAAACAGCACUGAGGUAUUGCUCAGCGUUGUGCUAAGGAGCUUGUCGCACUAAAGGGAUACCAGAAACGUGCAGUUGGUGUAAAAUACUCUGUAGUUCAGUUCAAAAUAGUGCAUAGCUAUGAUACUUGCAAGUGCUUUUGUAUUUAAAUGCAGGAGAGAACACUGGGCCUCGUGUGUGUGUGUUGGUUUCCAUAGAGUAAUACUCUUUUUGCUCUUAAUUUCUACUUCUUAGAGAACUAAGAAGAAUGCUUACCUUCCUUCUAGCUACUCCAGAAGUUGCAGAUAACCCCUUCUUCUUCCAUCUGUGGAUGGUUUGGGUAACUCUUAGCCAGUACAACAAGAGGCAAUAAAAUCCUCUGCAAUGUUUUUACAUAAUCCAAAAGCAUUUCAUAAGUAUAGACUUAAGCUAGGGAAAAAGGCAAAACAAAACAGGAAAUCGUUACAGGAGGUGUGACUGUUUCAUUUGUAGUGAUUUUAUCCUUUUUCUAAGAAUCAAAUUAACAUAAGGCAGGUCUCCAAUUGCCUCUCUUUAUAGGAAAUAGAAAUAGAUGCUAUCUUUUCCUUUCUUUUGGCAAGAAAUUCCUUUAUCUGUAGUGAGUUUCACAUCUCCCUUGCUAGGCCAUAGCACUCCAUACAGUGCAAUAGCACAAUAACAGCCUCUUGCAUGGAAUUAAGUGUGUGUAUGCCUCAAUUGGUCCGAGGAACCAAUGGAAAGACGGGAAAAUAGAGAGCAGGGAAAUAUUUAUGUUUUCUUUUAGCUGAGGUUGCAGCUUUCAUAGUUGCUACAAAACUUGUGUUUUUUUAAUUCUCAUCCAUGAGUCUCAUUUUUGCUGAAAAAAACAGGUACCUUUUGUGUCCAAUUUGUUUUUAGGGACAAGUAUUGCAAAUGAGGAAGAACAGGAUGUGUUGACAGUCAGUUGAAAGACCCAAUGUUGAAUCUUCUUGGGGAUUGUUGUUAUAUGCACUUCUAAUUGAAACUGUGUAGAAGUGAGACUGUUGAAAAAAAAAAUGUAUAUAUCUUUAUGUCAACUAUAGGAAACUGCACACAGUACCUUUGCGCCUGCUGUGGUUUAUAAAAGCAGCACCACUCAGCAUGCAUCUUACCCAGUAGUCAUGAUCCUGAAAAUGGUUCAACAAAGCGCUGUCCCCGUUGCCAUUGGAACUGCUGCAUGGCUCUGGCCUGCUUACAUUUUGGCCUAAAUUUCUUAAAAGGUGUUUGAACUUUUGUGAACCCAAAAAGCCUGUGCUGAGGACAUGGGGCUGUGAUUAUUAAACACUUUUUCAAUGUCUCUAACAGCUUUCACCCAAAGACCUUAGGACACUUGAAUGCACUCGUGAUUAACUGCAUUCUCUGCACUUUGUCCCAGUAGAAAACACCUGGGAAAGCCAUGUCAGCUCUGAAUAUACUUUCCCAACACGAGGACACAGUGGAGCAGGACCUGGACCAAAAUCUAGUUUAGAAUACUGCAGACACCGAAGCGGUUCUGCUUUCCAGCUCUGUGUUUUGAGUGGCCCUUUUCUUUACCAUGAUUUAAAUCGUUAAAACCACUUCCAACCUCCAGACAAAACACAGAUACAGUACAGCUCACCACCAGAUUUUUGUGAUGAUUAUACAAUGAGAUGAAGUAUGGGUGUAUGAUUUGAAGACACGGUUUCCCAUGUUUUCUUUUCCCGUUGCAGGACUUUGGAGGAGGAGAAGGAAAGAAACUUUCCUACUGCAACACACCAUGUAGAGAAAUGUACUGAGCUCUGCCCUAGUGUUAAGAUGGCAGCAAUCACAGGUAGAUGUCACCCAUAGUCCAUAGUCAAUCAUAGAAUCAUAGAAUGGCCUGGGUUGAAAAAGACCACAGUGAUCAUCUAGUUUCAACCCCCUGCUGUGUGCAGGGUUGCCAACCAGCAGACCAGGCUGCCCAGAGCCACAUCCAGCCUGGCCUUGAAUGCCUGCAGGGAUGGGGCAUCCACAGCCUCCUUGGGCAACCUGUUCAGUGCGUCACCACCCUCUGUGUGAAGUACACAGCUGGUGCUGGGCACAGUGCUCAUGUUUGCUCUGGGGAUGUUCUGCAGCACUAAGGGACAUGGUUUGGUGGUGGCACUUGGUAGGUGAGGUUGAUGGUUGGACUUCAAUGAUCUUGAAGGUCUUUUCCAACCCAAAUGCUUCUAUGGUUUUAUGAGUCUAUAAAGAGCUCUUGAAGAAGAGCUGUAUCAGUCACACCGCACCACAGGUGGCAUUUAGAUAGUGAUGACUUUCUUUUCAAAACAAAAAGUCAUGUUUGUGCUGUAGCCCAAGCUGCAGCUGGUUUUGCUGUCUAUGUGACUGGAUUUUGUUUGUUUGAAUAUCUCUGAAAGCAACUGUCAACGCUGAUGCUUGAAAGUCUACUUCAUUCUUUCAGUAUUUAGAACACAGCUAAGCAUAAAACCACAGAGUUGCACAGCCAGAGCUUCCUGCCAGCUCUCUUACGUGACUGGGAUUUUAUAGCGAUAUCACACCUAGGUGUGACUGACGAUUCAUAAAGCCCCAGAAGUUAGAGGUGGGAAAGAUUGUUAGGUCACCAGCUCCAUUUCCCUGCCAGGGUGGGAUAUGCUGCAGGUGUUUCUGCUCUGAGACUCAACAGAAGUGCUGUGCCAGUGCUGGUUGUCAUUAAUUAUUGUCCUUGGGAGCUCAGGACUAUCUCCUGUGGUGCUGAGCACUGCCUCCUACAGCAGUGAGAGUCCCAUUGCUCUGUUCUUCCCACACUUGGGACAUCACUGUUUGAAAUGUGAUCUCCUGUGAUCUCUCAUCCAGAAGACUGGAGGACAAUAAAGCACAUGUCAUAUACACAUGGCUGGUGAGAGCUGGACAGCAAGCUGUACCCACUCUACAUGAUAUCUUAGUCUGUCCCUGCCUAUUUUUCAGUCUGGGAGCACUUUCCUUUUGCUGUAGGGAAGCUCAUUCACAGUUAAGUGUUCUCUUCCCCGUCUUAGUAACUGAGCGUUAGAUAAAGUCACUGGAGUCUUGUAUUAUAAUGUUUUCUGAAAAGGAUGUUUCAAGCUAUUCAUUACUAGCUAGAUUUUACAUUUUGUUUGUACUUGUAGAAGUAGGUACAUUGUGUAUGUAUAUGUGUGUGUGUGUAUAUAUAUAUAUAUAUAUAUAUAUAUGCUUCUUAUAAUUGUAAGAAUGAAAUUCUUUCACUAUUUUAUGAGACUCUUAAUACAUCUGACACAAAGAAACUAGAAUUAAAGCGAACAGUAUUUCCCUUUUUACCACAAUAUGAAACCUUGUUUGCUCUCUGACUGCACAUCAAAUGUUGACAUUAACUGGCAGAUAUGCCACUUCCAUGCCAGGGUUUCAUUCUUGGAACAUGAGAUCAGGCAGAUCCUGUGAAAAUAAAUAUGAAAGAAAACACAUUCAGUGAAGUGCUCAGCUCAUAAAGGCGCAGUGCUAAGAAAUGUGGGCAGCCACCUCCACCCCCUCUGAGCUCACUCUGCUUGCAGCUCCCACUUCCCAAGAUUUGCAUUACAGUUGUAUUUUCUGCAGGUAGCCAAUAUGACUCCAUUUUUGUUCAGUUGUACAACUCCAG
ensembl:lncRNA